rnacentral:tRNA from 2 species
UCCUCUGUAGUUCAGUCGGGUAGAACGGCGGACUGUUAAUCCGUAUGUCACUGGUUCGAGUCCAGUCAGAGGAGCCA